rnacentral:misc_RNA from 1 species
AACAUCGCGCACCUGCGGGAACCUGCGGAAGGAUCAUUAACAAUUUCCAAAACAUGUCUUCUGGUCAAAGGGAAAGAUUUGUAGGAGGUGUGCUGUGUUAAUUCAUAGUCAUGCUUUUUACAAUCCUACUUUUGACUGGCUCGACAAAAAUACAAACAUUUACAAUUGACAAACAAUGGAGAUUAACCAAAAGUUAAUUAAAAACAACUUUCAGCAACGGAUCUCAGAUCGGAAGAGCAC